rnacentral:rRNA from 1 species
UGAGUAACCUUCCCUUGACUCUGGGAUAAGCCUGGGAAACCGGGUCUAAUACCGGAUGCGACCUCCCGCCGCAUGGUGGGGGGUGGAAAGAUUUAUCGGUCUUGGAUGGACUCGCGGCCUAUCAGCUGGUUGGUGGGGUAAUGGCCUACCAAGGCGACGACGGGUAGCCGGCCUGAGAGGGUGACCGGCCACACUGGGACUGAGACACGGUCCAGACUCCUACGGGAGGCAG